rnacentral:rRNA from 1 species
UACGUAGGGUGCGAGCGUUAAUCGGAAUUACUGGGCGUAAAGCGUGCGCAGGCGGUAAUGCAAGACAGAUGUGAAAUCCCCGGGCUUAACCUGGGAACUGCAUUUGUGACUGCAUUGCUGGAGUGCGGCAGAGGGGGAUGGAAUUCCGCGUGUAGCAGUGAAAUGCGUAGAUAUGCGGAGGAACACCGAUGGCGAAGCAAUCCCCUGGGCCUGCACUGACGCUCAUGCACGAAAGCGUGGGAGCAAACAGG